GCGGCGACGGCGGCCAAGGGCCUGGGCGGGCCGCGCACAUGGCGCUGGGAGGACCGAGCGCUCGAUUUGCCCUUAGGCCCUAAAGCUGGGUCGCAGCUAGGCUAAGGGAGGGGACGCGGUGUCGACCCCCGGCCUGGGGCAGCUCCCAAGUGAAGUGGGCUCCGCGGCCCGGCCGCUUGGCCCGCUGGCGCCCGGCGCCUCCCCCAGGUGAAAGUUGCCUCCUGGCGCCUCGGGGCACCGCGAUCACCUGUAAUCUUGAGCCACGUCCCAGAUGAAGGGGGAGUUACCUCUCGGUAACUGUUUAGGAAACCUUUGCCCCAGCGUUCGGCUUAGUGCGCUUCCCCGCCCGCAUUCCCACCCACCAACUAAAAGAGUUCUAAAGCGUUCCUGAGUAAAUUAAAUAGUAUUUCGCCGGCUUUUAAAAUUUUUUGUUACCUGUUUCUUUAAUUUGGGUAAAUAGCACUUAAUUACAAAUUAACCAUAUUCCCAAUAGGUUUUUUCUUCCUGGAAUGGAUGUUAAAAUGGUACAAAGACGUUUUGAUAAUAAAUCGGAUACGAGCUUUCUACUUGGCACUCACAUUCACUUAGAGAUGAUACUCGUUUCAUUUUUGAGUCAGUGUUUGUGUCCUGGUGCAAGG
rnacentral:lncRNA from 1 species